UGCGGAAGGAUCAUUGUCGG
rnacentral:rRNA from 2 species